GUGGCCUAAGUAGUUAGAGCAUCCGCCUCGAACGCUGGAGGUCGCGGGUUCAAAACCCGGCCAAGUCA